rfam:Cicer arietinum chromosome Ca7, whole genome shotgun sequence.
AAGCAUGAUUGGGGCAUCCUGCUAGUAAAUUCUUGAACCUCUUAUAAGUGUCAUGAAGAUAUUCCGCCUUUUUCUGUUUGUAACUGGAAAUCUCUUUUCUCUUUCU